rnacentral:lncRNA from 1 species
GUGGCAGAGUUUGGGGUGAAAAAAAAUCUCCUUUAUCCACCUUUUUGUUUUGCAAUCACUCUAGUGUACACUAGUUAACCUGAGAUAAUGAACAAAGCUACAUUGAUUUGCAGUGUAUGAUACCUGUUUGUCACACCCACAGCUCUCCCCUGCCAGUCUGGUGACAUUAGCAUACACAGCUAUGAGGGACACACCUGGCAGUGCGUGUGUGCAUGUGUGUCUCCAUCCAUGCGUGAGUUGUGCGUCGGCAGCGAUAUGAAUGGGCAGAGAGGGGUGUUCACUCACAGACACCAUAGCAGCAGUGAGAUGAGGAGUGCCAUCCACUCCACUGCACGUCUGCUCUACUGAGAGAAAGAAGAGGGGAGAAGGAGGUUAUACAACUAAACGGCAAAGUGAUCCAUCUCAAACAGACAUCACAGAAAAUCAGCAGCACUGAGAAAAAUCAGCCAUGGAGCAGAAGACAAAUGAGUGUCCCACCACCACCUCUCCUCAGAAGCAGAUGAAGAACAGGUCCAAGUCCACAGAGGAGAUGCAGCAGUCAAAGAAGGCCUUUUCCUCACAAAAAUCACUCCCAGGCAGGCCAGAGCUGGACAGAGUGAAGGAGUUUCCUGAUGGCUCCGACACACCUUCCUCCUCCACCGAAGAACUAAAGUGACAAAUAAAACCGUCAGGACAAUGAAGUUACCA